UACAGAGGCCACGAGCGUUAGGCGGAAUCACUGGGCUUAAAGCGUGUGUAGGUGGAUGGGUAAGUACCUUGUGAAAUCCCACGGCUCAACCGUGGAACUGCUUGGUAUACUGCCUGUCUUGAGGCACUCAGGGGCGAGCGGAACAGAUGGUGGAGCGGUGAAAUGCGUAGAGAUCGGGAAGAAUACCCGUGGCGAAGGCGGCCAGCUGGGCCAGGUCCGACACUGAGGCGCGAAAGCGUGGGGAGCAAACAGG
rnacentral:rRNA from 1 species